GUCAGUGGCCCCUCGAGUCUCCAGUAGAGAAGUCGAUUGGAAGGUUUAGCUCGUUCGAUCUGUGAUAAAAAAUGAGAUUUCUCAGCGCUCUCUUCGUGAUAGUAGCUGCUAUCUUCAUCUGCGUGCACAGCCUGGCUUUGUCCCAGGGCAAGUGCCCCGACGGCAAGGCCCCGGCCAACGUUAAGAGUAUAUGCCUCCCGAAGAACGCCACGGCACAGCAAGUCAGAGAGGCCUUGUUCGCCGCCCACAAGGAUUAGGAUAUAGCAUAAGGAUAUGAAUUAGAUCCACUUUAGUUUGUAAAUUAGUAUUAAAGUUCUUUUUUUAUA